rnacentral:rRNA from 1 species
GACGUAGGGCGCAAGCGUUGUCCGGAUUUAUUGGGCGUAAAGAGCCCGUAGGCGGCCUGUCGCGUCGACCGUGAAAACCCGCAGCUUAACUGCGGGCUUGCGGUCGAUACGGGCAGGCUGGAGUUCGGUAGGGGAGACUGGAAUUCCUGGUGUAGCGGUGAAAUGCGCAGAUAUCAGGAGGAACACCGGUGGCGAAGGCGGGUCUCUGGGCCGAUACUGACGCUGAGGAGCGAAAGCGUGGGGAGCGAACAGG